UCUAGGACUUCUUCUGGAGGAUGCAGCCGCUCUGGCUCAGGGACUUGUACAGACCUCUCAGUGCCACACGCAAGAAAAAAAUGGCGCAGAAGCUACAUGAUGAGUCUUCUGAUGAGGAAGAGAUUUUCAGUAGGGUUGCGAGGGUACCCAGAGAUGGCGCAGCUGACGUGAUUCUGACCAUCGAGCCGGAAGAGCCGGAUGAGGAGAGUGACACGGCACCGGGGAGCGACGCGGUGUGAGCCCCGUCCCACCUCAGGCCGCCUGUGCAUUUUAUUUUCUAAAAAUAAUAACCUUUACAGUAAUUUUUGGUCCUUA